UACGUAGGGGGCAAGCGUUGUCCGGAUUUAUUGGGCGUAAAGAGCGUGUAGGCGGCCAGAUAGGUCCGUUGUGAAAACUGGAGGCUUAACCUCCAACUGUCGAUGGAAACCAUCUGGCUAGAGUCCGGAAGAGGAGAGUGGAAUUCCUGGUGUAGCGGUGAAAUGCGCAGAUAUCAGGAAGAACACCCGUGGCGAAGGCGGCUCUCUGGGACGGUACUGACGCUGAGGAGCGAAAGCGUGGGGAGCAAACAGG
rnacentral:rRNA from 1 species